GCUCAAAACUCCAAGGACUUGGCGGUGCUCCACAUCAGCCUAGAGGAGCCUGUCCUAUAAUCGAUACUCCACGUUAGACCUUACCAUCCUUAGCCACUCAGCCUAUAUACCGCCGUCGCCAGCAUACCUUGUGAAAGGCACAACAGUAUGCACAACAGUUACCAACUAAUACGUCAGGUCAAGGUGUAGCACAUAAGAUGGAAGAGAUGGGCUACAUUUUCUGCCACAGAACAAACGAAAGGCGCAAUGAAACAUGCACCCGAAGGCGGAUUUAGCAGUAAGACAGACA
rnacentral:rRNA from 1 species